GCCAUUAUAGGUGUCUCGUGGAGUGCAUCUUGUUUGUUUACAUUUGACUUCGAAAAAAGUGUCGUGGUUUGUGGCGACUAGUCGAAACCGGACAUCUGAUUUUUGACAAAUACCUGCCUUUCUCUUGAUAUUUAGCAAGUAUCUGUGAAUGCGUAGGACAUAACUCUUUCGAAAUGUGGUUUUUAAAGUUUGAGGUGUUAAAUUAACAUGGUUGCCAUCUUCUGUGUGCUGUAGAAAAAUGGAAUACAAUUGUCAUCAUAUAAUUUUGAGCAUUUACCUUCAAGUUAUAAAGCAUAUAAAAAAAGAGUCAUGAAAUAUUUAUUUAUGAUGAAAGAAAACUAUCUGGCAAACAAGAAUUUACUCUCCUACUACUCCAUUAAUCCACCAUAAUACUGGGCAACAAGUAGCAGAAAAUCAUAUCAAAACAUCUUCCAGCUUUAAAAGCCAAUUGCAG